UCUCGGCACAUUGGAAAAUCAUGGAAUAACCAAACAAAAUAAAGAAGGUUACUUACGGAAAGCGUUUGUAAAAUUUAGCAAAUUUCAGCUCAAGUUAAUUUAUAGAACGAUGGAGAUUUAAAAUAUGAGAUGCAUUACAAGGUACAGAAUUUGUGAUCGAAAUGUGUAAAUUUGCCGAGACAUAAAUAACAAGAACAGGAAUCAUUGAUUGCGAGAAAACCGUAGAAGAUUCUAGGAAACUGAUAUCGAUUGCAACCCGAAUUAUCUCGGAACUAAAUCGACUCUGAAGUUAGAAGACGAAGGCGCAGAAAUAAUCAUCAUGAGCGAGAUGUCUGACCAUGAAGAGUCUGUGCUGGACCAUUUGAUGAGUAACAUGACAACAUUUAAGAAACAAAGAACCCCAACUGCCAAAAAGAUACAUAAAAUUUAGUGAUGAGGAUUUUUCUGAUAAUGAAGAGGAAGUAUUCUCUUUUCUGAUUUAUCUGAUGAAGAGGAAUACAUUUUGGAUGAUAUCACUGAAGAAAUUGCAAUGUUACGGAGCAUGAUGAUCAAGACUUCCAACUUCUUUCUUUGCUCUGUAACAUCCGUAUUUCAAUAAGAGUAUUCAUGUUAGUGCUUGCUGUGAUUUGCACCAAUAAUAGAUGAUGAAUCCAACAACUUUUGAACAUAAUUUCAGAUGUGAUGCUAGCAGAACACAUUUUAUAUACCAUUUGACAUAUAUGCAUUUAACAGUUGUCCAAAAAAAAACAAAAAACUAAGGAACCUUUGUGACGGUGCUUACCACUUUCAUUGUCAUCGUUGUUUAGGGGCCAAUAAAAUGUUGAUUGUGUCAUCUGUCUAAAGGAAUUUUGUCAAACACCAUUCAAGAAACCAAAAACUUCUUUCUGGAAAUACCUGUUAUAAAUCUACUCCACAAUCCAUUAUUUUUCAAGAUGGAUUUUUUAAAGCAAAAUGCAAGAGUGGUUUAACAGAAAUAUAGCUGGUGGAACUUAUAAGGACAUCUGUGAUGGGACUGUAAUUUCAGCUAGAAAUUAUCUUAGCUCAACAAUGAUGUUGGGAAGGACAAACACAAAUGCUGAAAUAUUUAUCUUAAAGUUUUCUAAUCUAUAAAGUAUUUCACUGUAAAUAUUGCCAAUGGAUUUAUUGUUAACAAAAGAAAAGUGAAAUAUAAUGUUUUGCCUACA